ACAGUGUGGCCAUAGAGGAGGCAG
rnacentral:piRNA from 1 species